ACUCUGCGAAUGUUGAGCUUAUCUUAACAAUGUCUCAGACAACUUCCGUUGUCAGUGCAGACACAGAGCAGGUCAAAAACAAGGGUGGAAGGCCCGCUGAUCAGACCGUUUGGGCUCACUUUGAGAAGGAAGAAUAUAACGCAAAGUCUAAGAACUGGAUUAUCAUCUGCAAGUACUGCCGGAUCGAGUUCAAGCAAGGGCGCCUUCAGGAGAUGCGCCUCCAUAUCGCGCAAAAGUGCGCAGGUCCGUCCCGCCUGAGGUCCGGCACGAGCUGCAGGCAGUAGUGACCAAGGACGCCUGCAGCGCCUCGUCAGUGCCUUCGGACACACAGGAGCACGUCCCAUGAGGCGCAAUGGCACAUAGGGCCCACUAACAACGUUUGCAUACCAUGGACGUCAUAAAAUAAAGCUUUUUGAGGUUUCCGACAGUUUCCGACGGUUUUGCGAGGUUUUGCAGAAGGCUCCAAAAAUCGGAAACUAUUUCGGCAUUGGCAGUAAGGUUUCGGCCCGUACAUUGUGGAGGACCCAGCGAGCGACCGACACAAAACGCUCAUGGCCCAUUAUGAGAAGCAUGGUACGAAAAUUGAAGUACGAAGGGUUUAUGUCAGCAUUUUUAACGUUUCCGGGAGAGGUGGCGGCUGUUAUGUCAUCUACGUUAUAUAAUGGCCAAAUACCAGCCUCAGUCACUGCUCAUGAUCAACCUCUUUCCCGUUCCAGAGCUAGACCCCAUAAGUGUAGGAGAUAUAGACUUUACAACUUCUUUUAACUCAGCAUUUUACAGGAGGAAAAAGUCCUCCUAUAGUCGGUUGAGGCGUAGAAUGUAGGUUUCGAUUUUCUUUCCUCCCGCACUUGUAUAUGCGUAACUCCAGCAUAUCAUGUUUUCAGGUCAGGAAAGCAUGUUUUACAAUUAUGUCUGUUGUAUAUAUUGCAGUGAUAACGCAGCCAAGACCUCCUCGGAAAGUGGUGGUCACACGGGACCAUCAACGAGCACCACCGGUGCCGGCCCCGGACCAAGCUCCAGCAGCAACCAACAGGUAUUUCAAUACUGUAUCGUCUAGUGUAAUUUUAGUAAAGUAAUUAUAGUGAACUAAAAUGACACUAGACAAUCUCUGUAUUGUGAAUAGGGUCUGGUUUACUAAAACUAUGCUCAGACAGCCCACAUCCUGAAUAUUCUUACAACAUAAAUUCUUAUGAUACCUCUUUUCUGUUUUUUUUGUAGGUUGAUGCUGGAGUGGCCCUGAAGACUUUGGAGGAGGCCUUGGAGGAGGCUGCAUUACAAAGGGCGGCGGCGACCGCGGCCGCGGCGGCGGCGGCGGCGAAGCUCGCAGAGAAAGAUGCCGAGAUCGCAAGGCUACUAAAGCUGCUUUCACGCAUGAAGAUUCCUGAGGUAAGUUUUAAAGCUUCAUCUGUUGCCUGAUAUCUCGUUUUUGGGCGGGGCCCCAGCGCGAAGCGCCCAGGGGGGCCCCGACCUGUAGGAUUGCCCAUGUCCGUGUGUGUGUGUGUGUGUGUGUGUGUGUGUGUGUGUGUGUGUGUGUGUGUGUGUGUGUGUGUGUGUGUGUGUAACGGACCAAACAUAAUAUCUCGCCCGCCUGAAACUCGUUAUAGGUACUAUACAGCAUUCUCUAUUGCAAGGUAUCUCGCAUGUAGCCAACAAAAAUCGUAUGAGCACAAACAAGUUUGGCUGCCUCAAUUGACCGAGGCCAAAGUCACAUCAACGCCUCUCGCGCUAAAUUUCAUCUCAAAAGGUACCGCGUAUCUCAUAUUUGAAUUCUUAGAUGACGGCGUAUGAUAACUCGAACUCCCAGGCCUUGAGUGUGUAACGGACCAAACAGAAUAUUUCACCCGGCUGAAACGCGUUAUCGGUACUAUACAGCAUUCUCUAUUGCAAGGUAUCUCGCAUGUAGCUAACAAAGACCGUAUGAGCACAAACAAGUUUAGCUGCCUCCAUUCACCGACCUCAAAAGCCACAUCGACGCCUCUCGCGCUAAAUUUCAUCCCAAAAGCUGCCGCGUAUCUCACAAUGGAAUUCUGAGAUGACGGCGUAUGAUAACUUGAACACCCAGCUUGUGUUACCAUUUGCCGGCAUGGGCAAUCCGACUUGCCACCAGCAGGCCAACAUAAUUUGCUUUCAUUUCUCUAUGAAAUACACAAGCUCCUUGUUUGUACAUUUACUUUGGCCAAUGCACGGGGCCUCCGGAGACUUGCGGUGUGCCCCGAUGAAGCUCGCGGCUGUGGGGCGGAUUGCUGAGGCCGCUGGCGCAUCGGGGAUAAACAUCACAGACAGCACCGAAAUUCACCCAGCUUUCGUUACCAUUUGCCCGCAUGGGCAUUCCGACUUGCGGUCUGCCGCACUGUCCAUGCGGCAUGCACCCGGGAUGGAUGCGAUUCGCGUGGAGCCCGCAGGCGGUGCUGACGAUUCCGCCGGUGCAAGCUUAGCUCCCACACCAUCAGCACUGCUGCAACAAAGCACAUCUCCCACAGCGGUGACACUACCCAUCAAUUGUCACACGUGCCGCGCUAGCUACCGGCCUGUACGGAUGCAGGGGGGGCCCGCCCUUUUUCCGGCUUCGAGGAAGCCGACACCCGACUUGUCCUCCACCCUGUAUCUCCCUGCCUAAGGAUGGAUUCUCCCUCAUUCCCUAUUUUCCCAUUCUUUGGGCUUUCUUGGGUAUGCAGGGAUCUUCAAGUGAGGUACCGAGGCUGCAGGAAGCAGCUCAGGAGGCCACAGAGGAAGCCGCUGCAGCCGUUCCCACCACUAGGGAGGCACAUGUUGAUGAGGGAAUGAUGCCGGGCCAGCAGCAGUGGGCGCGGACACAGACAUUUAGAUGAGCAUGGCAAGGGCUGAUGGAUGUGACUGGAGAAGGGAUGGGAUGAGAUGUGAGAUGGUGAGAGUGAGGCAGCAAGGGACGGUUGAGACGGAGAGGCAGCAGCCAAAUGGACUGCAUCCUGGAAAAGAUUAGUGCUAAUUGAGACACUAUUUGAGGGUUGAACAAGUUGAAAAUUGUAUUGUAGUCAUGAUGCAAUAAAAAGCAGUCAGACUGACACAUCUUUGUAACACCACUAACGGCC
rnacentral:lncRNA from 1 species